CAGAUAAUGAUCUCUUGGCAGUUUGGGCUGAAUUUUAGUGAAUUCUUAGUGAAUUUUAAUGAUAAGAUACAGGAUGUGCAUUCUGAAACUCAGGUAUAUUUUCACCAUGACUUUUCAACAUCAUUUCAAUUCAUGACAUUUCAAUUCCUCGGUACAUAUUUUUGUCUUUUUUGAUUUGAUAUAUUUCGUUUGAUAACAGCAACUUCAGCACAUUCGUAAUUUUGACUUCACUAACUUCUUUUGCUUUAUUGUUAUGUGUAUUGUUAUUUUAACGAAUUGUCACAACUGAGUCGUACAUCAUCCAAGUUUAGUGCGGAAAUAUUGCUUUAGUGUAAAUAAUUCCGCACUAAAUGGUUAUGGAAAUGGAAAUGUUAAAUGCGACAUCAAGAGUUUUGGACAGUGUUGGAUUAAUUCGUCUGCAGUACAAAACUUCUUUCAUCAAGUCCUUAACAUAUCCUGAAAAGCAAAUCAUUUAUUUAUGUUGGCUUUGCAUUUCACUUUGAGAAAAGGCUCUCUAACAUAUCAUGUUCACAUUUUGGGAAUACAUCACUGUGUCCCUCGUGGAUGUCACAUAUAUGGUUGAGAACUGACAACCACUUUGUCUUGACAAGCUCUUCAUCACCAUUGCUGGAAGCAGCACACCAGUAUACAUGGUUGGAAAUUGAUUGGGCCCAAUCUGACAAUAAUUUGCAACCACUUUUUCUUGAUGCUGCCAAAAUUUUCUUUUUGAUUCCUGUUGGAUUUUGAUUAUUGAUGAAAUGUGUAAAGGGAUUUGAUUUGAGCAUGUCUGUCUGUGGUCAUUGACUUCACCUUCAUCCCACUUUCAUCAAACUUUGCCAGACAUCUUUUUAAUCCCUCAAGUUCCAUUGCUCCAGAGUUGGACACUUCAUUGGACUGUUUAACAUAAUUAUAUUCCAAAUCCAUGCAGCUAUAUGACCCAUACUUGGCACAAUAUCCAGGCGAAUCACAUCUUCCAUCUCUUCCAAGGUUAAUGUUCCUUUCUCUGAUUGA